GACGGGACCGCACAAGCGGUGGAUGAUGUGGUUAAUUCGAUGCAACGCGAAAACCUUACCACCUUUGACAUGUACGGAAUCCUUUAGAGAUAGAGGAGUGCUCGAAAGAGAGCCGUAACACAGGUGCUGCAUGGCUGUCGUCAGCUCGUGUCGUGAGAUGUUGGGUUAAGUCCCGCAACGAGCGCAACCCUUGUCAUUAGUUGCUACAUUCAGUUGGGCACUCUAAUGAGACUGCCGGUGACAAACCGGAGGAAGGUGGGGAUGACGUCAAGUCCUCAUGGCCCUUAUAGGUGGGGCUACACACGUCAUACAAUGGAUGGUACAAAGGGUCGCCAACCCGCGAGGGGGAGCCAAUCCCAUAAAGCCAUUCGUAGUCCGGAUCGCGGUCUGCAACUCGACUGCGUGAAGUCGGAAUCGCUAGUAAUCGUGGAUCAGAAUGUCACGGUGAAUACGUUCCCGGGUCUU
rnacentral:rRNA from 1 species